rnacentral:siRNA from 1 species
AAGCAGCUCGGCCCAAGUUAGCA